AAAUCACCGGGGAAAGAAGACCCUCUUGAGCUUGAGUUUAAUCCAACUUUGUGAAAUGACUUGAGAUGUGUAGGACAAGUGGGUGCUAAAACCAGAUUCGGUCGGUUGAUCCGAGCAAAAGACAUUGUCAGGUGGGGAUCGACCGUUUGGCUGGUGCGACACUAGUGUGGAACAAAAGGGUAAAAGCUCGUUUGAUUCUGAUUUCCAAUAGGAAUAUGAACAAUGAAAGUGUGGCCUAUCGAUCCUUUAGUCCUUUAGAGUUUAAAGCUAGAGGUGUUAGAAAAUUUACCACAAGGAUAACUAGCUUGUGGCAACCAAGUGUUCAUAACAACGUUGCUUUUUGAUCCUUCGAUAUCGGCUCUUCCUAUCACUAUGAAGCAUAAUUCACCAAGUGGUGGAUUGUUCACCCACCAAUAGGGAACAUGAGCUUGGUUUAGACCGUCGUGAGAAAUGUUAGUUUUACCUUACUGAUGACAGUGAUGCAAUAAUAAUUCAAACUAGUAUGAGAUGAACCAUUUUUUUGCAUAAUUGGUCAUCGCGUUUGGUUGAAAAGCUAGUGGCAUGAAGCUAACGUGAGUUAGAUUAUGACGGGAUGCCUAUAAGUUAGAAGUCGGGCUAGAAGUGAUGAGUGUGUUUGCGUUUGUUUACCGACCAGCAAUAGGAGGCCUUGUCCCCUAGAGGCACAUGUCAUGGGUGAACCUCGUACGGUGAAUCAGCCUUACAAGACGCCUUGAAGCGCAAUUCCCAUCGAGCGUCAGGUAGAAUCAUUUGCAAACGACUAAAAUACGCGACAUGGUAUUGUAAGUGGCAGAGUGACCUUGCUGCCAAGAUCCACUAAGAUUUGGCCAUUGUCGCUUUGAUUC
rfam:Vigna angularis cultivar Jingnong 6 chromosome 5, whole genome shotgun sequence.